rnacentral:lncRNA from 1 species
UCAAAAAAUAUGGCCUUUUAUUGUCUUGGAUGCAAAUAUAGUUUUCAAACUGCAUUGUAGUGUUGAAUACAGCUGGUGGAAAGGUGCUUCUCAACAGCGGAGCAUAAACGGCCUUGCUCUGGAUGGCGCAGGCCUGAGGCUUGGGGCCUCCGGUGAGCAAGACUCUUCUUGGGUUUUGUUUUUCUGCCCACGAGGGGUGACUGUUUGCUACAGAAGCCCUGACACAGUCACCGGAGCUCACAAGAGAAAAAAAUGAACCAUUUACACAAUGAACUGAAAGCAGAAAAAGGAAAAGAACGUGCUGUUUCAGCUGUGGCGUUACAGAAGAAGCCCACAAACACGAGUGUGAACAGAUUCAGAUAAAGCAGCAGCAAGGGCGCCGAGGGAGGGGCCUCGUGCCAGUUCCCUCGGGGACACACAGCCUCGGCUCCAUGUCUCCUACCUUUUAACUGCAGGAAGGAAACUUUAUGGAAAUGUAUCGAACUUCAGUUUCUCCCAACCCUCUCCACCACCUCAACUCUUGAGGAUGGCACCUCUCUGUUCACAUACCCAGGAGAGAAUUCUUCCAAUUAGCGACACCCAGGGUUGACUCUGGAACCAAAAGGUUGACUGGGAGAUAAAAGCGAAUUUUGCUACAUAAUUGUCAAGGUAUUUCACAAAAAUAAAAUCCAUUAAAAACACCCACAAACACGCACACACACACACACACACAGAGCCAACAUUCAACAGGAAAAGUUCCCUUUUCUUUCUCAAAGGCUGAUUUUUACAAGCCUCGACAGGAACGGCCCCCACGUGGUGAGCUGGGAAAGCCAAGGCCUCAGAAGGGAAAGACAAUGGGGCAGGUGAUGGAGGGGAUGUGGUGAAAAUCUUUAAUAUACAAGGCAUCAGGGACAUCGAGCCAAAAACCAUGGCCCACCACUGCUGCGCACCCACCUCAGGGCUCGCCAGCUCCCUUCCUCGUUGUCAAGGCCACUGCAGAGGAAGCACUUUGCAAAGUGGCUCCGACAAGCAGCAGACCGGGCGGGUUUCACCUGCAGCAAAUCAAUCAGCGGAAGCAAGGCAUCUCUAGGGAAAGGCAAUUCCUCCACCAGAGAGAGGAGAGCAGCUAUACUCAGCUUAGUUAGGGGCCUGGGGCCGUGAGAGAGACAAAAGACGCAGGCAGAGCUAGAUGACCAUGGGAGGGGAAGAGCAUAGGGGUGCUGUGCCAAGGCUGCC